UCGCCGCCUCCUCCUCCUCCUCCUGCUCCCCCCCAGCCAUGGACGCCGACCCUCCACGGACCCCCCCGGCCCCAUCUCCAGCCUUGGGCUCCCCCUUGAACCUGCCGCUGAUCCUCGAGGAGCUCCGCGUCCUCCAGCAGCGCCAGCUCCACCAGAUGCAGAUGACCGAGGAGAUCUGCCGCCAAGUCCUCCUCUUGGGCACCCUCCAGCACCCCAAGAGCCACCUCCUCCCGUCGUACCCCCCCAAAACCCCCCCUGCCAAGCCUCACUUCUUCCAUCUCCUCCCACCUUUCCCCACCACCACCACCGCCACCACCCGUGGGGGCCUCAAAGCCGACCCGCGCCCCACAUCCACCUUCCUCCCUUUGGCCCUUGGGUCUUCUCCAGGUCUCCUGCGCCCCAAGAACGUGGUGCUGGUGGAAGCGGGGACCUCCAGGCACGAAUGUGGCUUCUGUGGCAAAGCCUUUGGCAGCGACAGCGCGAGGCAGAUCCACCUGAGGUCCCACACUGGGGAAAGGCCCUACAAGUGCAACGUCUGCGGCAACAGGUUCACCACCCGCGGCAACCUGAAGGUCCACUUCCACCGGCACCGCGAGAAGUACCCCCACGUGCAGAUGAACCCUCAUCCCGUGCCACAGCACCUCGAUUACCUCCUGCCGGCCACCCGAGAGCCGCCGAUGGGAGCUCAGCUCAAGGGGGGCGACCAACUGGUCCACAUGGGCGAGCAAGAGGUCAAGGGGGGCGAGCAAGUCAAUGGGGGCAACCAACAGGUCAACGUGGGCAAACAACAGGUCAACGUGGGCAACCAGCAGGUCAAUGGGAGCAACCAACAGGUCAACGUAGGCAACCAACAGGUCAAUGGGAGCAACCAACAGGUCAGUGGGAGCAACCAGCAGGUCAACGUGGGCAACCAACAAGUCAAUGGGGGCAACCAACAGGUCAAUGGGAGCAACCAGCAGGUCAAUGGGGGCAACCAACAGGUCAAUGGGAGCAACCAGCAGGUCAAUGGGGGCAACCAACAGGUCAAUAUGGCCACCCAUGAUCUCAAUGGGAGCAACCAACAGGUCAACAUGGGCAACCAACAGGUCAAUGGGAGCAACCAACAUGUCAACAUGGCCACCCAUGAUCUCAAUGGGAGCAACCAACAGGUCAACAUGGCCACCCAUGAUCUCAAUGGGAGCAACCAAGAGGUCAAUGUGGCCACCCAACAGGUCAAUGGGAGCAGCCAAGAGGUCAAUGUGGGUGCCCAACAGGUCAACGCGGCCACUCAACAUCCUGGUGGGGCCACCCAAGUCAAUGUGGGCACUCAACAGGUCAAUGGGAGCAACCAGCAGGUCAAUGGAGGCAACCAACAGGUCAAUGUGACCAACCAAGUCAAUGUGGCCACUCAACAGGUCAACGUGGGCACCCAACACGUCAACCCGAGCACCCAACAGGUCAACCCGAGCACCCAACAGGUCAAUGGGAGCAACCAACAGGUCAAUGGGAGCAACCAACAGGUCAACCCGAGCACCCAACAGGUCAAUCCGAGCACCCAACAGGUCAAUGGGAGCACCCAGCAGGUCAACGCAGCCACUCAACAUCAUGGUGGGGCCACCCAAGUCCAUGUGGGCACCCAACAGGUCAAGCCAACCAGCCAACAGCUCAAUGUGGGCACCCAACAGGUCAACCCAACCACCCAACAAGUCAAUGGGAGCACCCAACAGGGCAACCCAACUACUCAACAGGUCCAUGUGGCCACUCAGCAGCAUGGUGGGACCACCCAAGUCAACGCAAGCACCCACCAGGUCAAUGUGGGCACCCACCAGGUCAACCCAACCACCCACCAGGUCAACCCAACCACCCACCAGGUCAACGUGGGCACCCAACAGGUCAAUACAACCACCCACCAGGUCAAUGUGGGCACCCAACACAUCAACCCAACCACCCAACAGGUCAACAUGGGCACCCAACACAUCAACCCAACCACCCAACAGGUCAACAUGGGCACCCAACAGGUCAACCCAACCACCCAACAGGUCAACAUGGGCACCCACCAGGUCAACCCAAUCACCCACCAGGUCAAUGUGGGCACCCAACACAUCAACCCAACCACCCAACAAGUCAACGCAACCACCCAACAAGUCAAUGUGGGCAUCCAACACAUCAACCCAACCACCCACCAGGUCAACAUGGGCACCCAACAGGUCAACCCAACCACCCAACACAUCAACCCAACCACCCAACAAGUCAACGUGGGCACCCAACAGGUCAAUACAACCACCCACCAGGUCAACGUGGGCACCCACCAGGUCAACAUGGGCACCCACCACAUCACCCCAACCACCCACCAGCUCAACCCAGCCCCCCAACUCCACCUCACCGCCUUCCACAAGCUCCUCCUGCUGAAGGCCACCGACGGCCGCCCCACGGCGCGCGACGAGAACACCCCCCCACCGUGGCCCCUCUUCGCCCCCCGCUUCCCGGGCUCCUCGGAGACCUCCAAGCUCCAACAACUGGUGGAGAAGAUCGACCCCCCCCCCCCCACAACCACCAUCAUCAUCAUCAUCGUCAUCACCAUCGCCACCAUCGGACCCCCAACGCCACCAGUGCCGCCGCGUGUUGAGGCACUGGCCCCUCGGGCAACGUGGGGCAAUGGGGCGCUGCAAGGUGUGCGGCCGCUGCUUCCCCAGCCGUGGGGCGUGGAGGGCUCGCUGUGGGGCGCACAAAGGGGGGCCCCCCAACUCCUGCCCCCUGUGCCGGAAGAGGUUCGGUGACGGCGGGGACCCCCAGCGCCCCGGCGCCCGGCUCCGUCUGCUGGGGCGGCCGCCCCACGGCGAGGGCACUGGGGGGCGAGAGGAAGAUGGGGGGCGCCAGGAUGUGGGGGGAGAGGAGGAGGAGGAGGAGGAAGAGGAAGGAGGAGGAAGGGAGGAGGAAGGGGAAGAGGAUGUGGAGGUCCCCCCCCCAUGGACACCGUCAGGACCCCUCUGGAACCAGCCCCCCCCCAAAGCCCCAUUGGGGAGCCCCGAGGAAGACGAGGGGGGGGCUCCAGGGGAUGGAGACCCCCCAAAGGAGGCGGAGGGGGACCAGUAGGUCAAUGGGGGGUGAUGGAGACCCCCCCAAAUCCCCCUCUGCUGCACCCCAAGCUCCCCCUAACCAUAGCUUAGGCCAUUAAAGCCGUUUGAUGACUCCAA